UUCCGCUACCCGACCCGGCCCGACGUGGAGGUGCUGCAGGGUCUGAAUUUGGAGGUGACCCCUGGGGAGACCCUGGCGCUGGUCGGGGCCUCAGGCUGUGGGAAGAGCACGACCAUGCAGCUGUUAGAGAGGUUUUACGACCCAGAGUCCGGUGAUGUGAUUCUGGACAAGAUUCUUGUGAAGGAUCUAAAUGUCCAAUGGCUCCGUAAACAGAUCGGAAUCGUGUCCCAGGAACCAGUACUUUUUGACUGCAGUAUCGCUGAGAACAUAGCGUACGGGGAUAACUCCCGAGAGGUUCCGAUGGCAGAGAUUAUUGAGGCUGCCAGGAAAGCCAAUAUACACGAGUUCAUCUCUUCACUUCCCAAUGGCUAUGAUACUCUUUGUGGAGACAAAGGGACACAACUCUCAGGAGGACAAAAACAGCGAGUGGCGAUCGCCCGAGGACUGGUCAGAAAUCCCAAGAUUCUUCUGCUGGAUGAGGCCACAUCUGCCCUCGAUACCGAAAGUGAAAAGAUCGUACAGGAAGCUCUGGACAAGGCGCGACAGGGAAGGACAUGUAUCGUCAUUGCACAUCGACUGUCCACCAUCCAGAACGCCGACAAAAUCUGUGUCAUCAAACACGGCCAAGUGGCGGAGCAGGGUCGCCACGGAGAUUUAAUGUCCAAACAGGGAAUUUAUGCUCGACUAGUCAACACUGCAAAUAAACGUGGGAAGAGUUGAUUUUAAUAUUAUACGACUAAGAAAUAAUGGGGAACUCCAUUUUCUGUUGUUCUCAUCACUCAAACAGAUUGUAGGAGUUUUUGUCGAUUUCCUAGAAAUUCUUUUUUUUACAAGUCGAAAAUCAAAAUUUUUACUGUGUUUGAAACUAAAGUACCUGUAAACAAACAUGUGUCACAUUUGUCUUUAGAAUAUGAUAAUUUUUCAUUG
rnacentral:misc_RNA from 1 species